rnacentral:rRNA from 1 species
CUUACACAUGUCAAGUCGAACGAUGAAGCACUUCGGUGUGGAUUAGUGGCGAACGGGUGAGUAACACGCCGAGCAACCUGCCCCUUUCUCUGGGAUAACCGCCGGAAACGGUCGCUAAUACCGGAUAUUCACUUUUCCGUGCAUGCGGUUUGGUGGAGAGAUUUUUUGGUGGGGGAUGGGCUCGCGGCCUAUCAGCUUGUUGGUGGGGUAAUGGCCUACCAAGGCUUCGACGGGUAGCCGGCCUGAGAGGGCGACCGGCCACACUGGGACUGAGAUACGGCCCAGACUCCUACGGGAGGCAGCAGUGGGGAAUAUUGCACAAUGGGGGAAACCCUGAUGCAGCAACGCCGCGUGCGGGAUGACGGCCUUCGGGUUGUAAACCGCUUUCAGCAGGGGCGAAUUCAGACGGUACCUGCAGAAGAAGCACCGGCUAACUACGUGCCAGCAGCCGCGGUGAUACGUAGGGUGCGAGCGUUGUCCGGAUUUAUUGGGCGUAAAGAGCUCGUAGGUGGUUUGUUGCGUCGGAAGUGAAAACCCAAGGCUUAACUUUGGGCUUGCUUUCGAUACGGGCAGACUUGGGGAAGGUAGGGGAGAACGGAAUUCCUGGUGGAGCGGUGGAAUGCACAGAUAUCAGGAGGAACACCGGUGGCGAAGGCGGUUCUCUGGACCUUUCCUGACGCUGAGGAGCGAAAGCGUGGGGAGCAAACAGGCUUAGAUACCCUGAUAGUCCACGCCGUAAACGGUGGGCACUAGGUGUGGGGGGACAUUCCACGUUCUCCGAUGCCGUAGCUAACGCAUUAAUGUGCCCCCGUCCUGGGGAGUACGGACCGCAAGGCU